CGCCGCGCCCCGCUCUCGCCGCGAGGUGGCGCGCUGCCGCCCGCCCCGAGGUGGGCCGUGCGCGGUGCUGCUGCUCGGGUUGUGGGCUCAGUUGGGCGGGCGGGGUUGUGAGGUGUUCAGCCGGCCUGAGGGAGAAAGGGGGAUUUCCCAAGUUAACGCGCUUUUUAAGUGUGGAAGCACAGAGGUGAAGGGGCGUCACGAGGCGGUGUGAAGAGUUUGUGGAAGGGUUGAUCCAAAUCUCACUGUAUCCCUCUCCAAGAUGAUCGGGCCCAGUGCUGGCAGGACCUGCAGCAGACUGGGGGAUUGCAGCAUACAUGUGUGAGGACUUCCUGCACCAGGGGCACCCCAGGGGAGUGCAGAGACCCACUGGGAGCUGGCGGUUCUGGUGAGAAGAACUGAGAAGACUCCAGUGGGGCCAGGAGCAGUGGCCAUCGUUCUCUGCGUGUGCAGAAGACAGCCCCAGGGACUGUGGCGAUCGGCACAUAGCGGGUCUGAUAGAGCCAAACAACUUUUAUCUAAUUCUGCUCAUUCAAGCUGGAUCACAGAAGGCUUUAACAAGGAGACUGAAAAACAUUAAAAGGGACUUUACAUCUCUUGGAAGGAUGUAGAAGAGAUUGGGAGUGUAAGUAGUGUUGUCCUCUGUCCUUCUGAUGGAGGCUGGCACCUGGGAAGGAGGAGAACAGGACAAGCGAAUGAUUGGCUGUGUGGAUGGUGCUAUACAUGGGGCUGUGGCUUCCAUGAUCUUCGACAGGCCUUUGAGGUGCUGAGCAUGUUGACUUCAAAUGAGACACAACUGACUGGGUGGGACAAGAAUGUUCUGGGAAACAAGCUGUCUGGGCUGAUCAGCAGAACUUAAAACUAGAUUCGAUGGGGAAAGGAGGUGGAUUUCAAAAUGACAAAGGAAGACUGGGGAACGCUGUCACUUUAGGAGGCAGUGGAGAUGGACUUCAGAUUUGUCCCCAGGGAACUCAGGAGGGCUCCCUGAAGAAGCUAAUACUGCUGAUUGUCUGGAUGAUGUGCCUCUAUACCAAUGCCAGCAGCAUGGGAAAUAAUCAGGAGGAGCUGGAAGACAUGGCACAACGGAAAAACUUACCUAGUUGCUAUCAAGGAAAUGUGGAAUGAAUUGCACAGCUGGAGCACAGUGAUCAAGGCCUGCAAGCUUUUUAGGGGAAAUACAGAGGGAUGGAGGGGCAGGGGAGUUGCUCUCUGCGUUAAGAAGUGGAUAGAUUGCAAAGAGCUGCCUUUGAAAAACAGCCAUGAUCAGAUGGAGAGCUUGUGGGCAACAGCAGGAACUGGUCCAUUGAAGGCCAUCUGGUGAUUGGGGUCUACUACAGGUUGCCUGAUCAAGGGGAGCUUGAGCACAAGGCCUUCUUGCUACAAAAGGCUCUCAUCCUGAUGGGAGAUUUCAACCACUCAGAUGUCUGCUGGGGAAACAACAUGAUGGGCUGCAAGUGAUUCAGGAGACUCCUGAAGUGCAUGGAUGAAUAUCAGGGACUGGUCCAACAAAGGACAUCUGAUGUUAAGGGGUCUACUGCAGGCUGUGUGAUCAAGGGUAGCCUGUGGAUAAGGCCUUCUUGCUUCAGAUACAGGAAGCAUUGUAUUCACAGGCUUUCAUCCUCAUGGGGAAUUUCAGCCAUCCAGAUGUCUGCUGGGAAAGAAGCACAGUGGGUUGCAGACAAUCCAGGAGACUCUUGAAGUGUGUUGAUGAUAACUUCCUGGUCCGGGUAUUAUACAAAUUGACCUGAGGGGAAGCAUUAAUAGAUCUGGUGCUCACCAGUGUAGAGGAGAUCAUUGAGGAGGUUAAGAUAGAAGGCAGUCUGGGCUAUAUUGACCAUGCCUUGGUUGAAUUUGUGAUCUUGAGGAAUAUGGGCCUGGAGAAAAGCAAACUCAGGGCCUGAACUUGAGGAGAGUGAACUUCUGGCAGUUUAAGGAAUUGUUAGAUGAGAUCCCUUGGAAAGCUGUUGGAGUAGAGCUGGCAGCUCUUUUAAGGACACGUUUUUGAAAUCACAAGAACUCAGUAUAGGAAAACAAGCAGAGAAAGCAGGAGACUGGUAGGGCUAAGCAAGGACCUACUGGUCAAACUAAGGGAAAACAGGAACUCUCUCUUGAACUGUCUUUCUUGAACAGGGGUGCCAAAAUCUGCACACAGUACUGCAGAAUUGGCCUCACCAGAGCAGAGUAGAGGGGGAGGAUCACCUCCCUUGACCUGCUCACCACACUCUUUUUAAAGCACCCCAGGAUACUGUUAGCCUUCUGUGUCACAAGGGCACACUGCUGGACUAUGAUCAAGCUGCUGUUCACCAGUACACUCACAUCCUUCUCUGCAGAGUUCCUUUCUAUCAGAUCAGCCCCUAAUCUGUACUAGUGUGUAGAGUUAUUUCUCCCCAUGUGUAGGACUCUACACUUGCCCUUGUUGAACCUCAUAAGGUUCCUUUCUGCACAACUGUCCAGCCUGUCCAGGUCUCACAGAAUAGCAACACAGCCUUCUGGUGUAUCAGCCACUCCUAGCUUUGUAUCACCAGCAAACUUGCUGAGGGUGCACUUUAUCCCUUCAUCUAUGUCCCUUAUGAAGAUGUUAAACAAGACCAGAUGCAGUUCUGACUCCCGGGGAACACUGUUAGCUACAGGUUUCCAACUAAGACUCUGUCACUGAUCACAACUCUCUGAGCUGUACCAGUAAGCCAGUUCUCAAUCCACCUCACUGUCCAUUCAUCUGUCCCACAGUUCCUAAGCUUACCUAUGAGGAUGUAGUGGAAGACAGCAUCAAAAGCCUCGAUGAUGUCAAAGUUGACAACAUCCGGUGUUCUCUGCUCAUCUAUCCAGCUGGUCAUGGCAUCAUAUAAGGCUACCAGACUGAUCAAGCAUAAUUUCCCCUUGGAGAAUCCAUGCUCACUACUCCCGAUGACUUUCUUCUCUUCCACUUAGAAAGGCUUGGAUUCCAUGCUUGAAGAUGACAUCCAGAGGGGAGAUGUUGCCAAACGGCAGGAGUAUUCAAACUGGAGGAAACUUUGGGUUUCAUGGACGAAAACAAUGAAUGAUCCAAGGAUCACCGAGGAGACGGCUCGCUGUGGUUUUGGGAUAGCCAAGAACAACUGAGCAGAGAGCGGCAUUUCUGGGAAGAGGCAUCAGGUGCCCAUGGAUUUCAGUUCAAUCAUGAUAGUAAACUGAUCCAUAGAGGCUUGCAGAAAAUUUCAGAAUUGGCAUUUGAGGAAGUGAGGAAAGAAGGGAGCUGUCUGUAUGUAUAAACUACAACAGAUACGAAGAGCUUGAUUCUCAAGAUAAUUCCUCUUCACUUGAUGAAUCCCAGGCAAGCCAAAAGGUUGGACAACCAAGAUAUGUCACCGCAUGGACCUUGCCCACAUCACUCUCCAUUUACACCUCUGAACAUGAGAGGGGAGUGUAUCCCAUUUAGGCCACCUUCACUGGACCUGAAGUAAGGUGAGAGAGUCUGUGGGCUCUUCAUGCCCCUGCCAGAAACGUGCCUUCUAACUGGUCUCUUGAUGCCUCACCUGCAGCUGAGGCACCUGCCGCUGAGCACCUGGAGAUGCAUUCCGGCCAAGAGACUGAACAUCCAAAACUAUCCAUUAGCAUUUUCCAUGAAGAGAUAAGCUCUGCUCUCUGUUGGAGUUUCACUGUAGUAGCUAGGGGUUUGGGAGACCUGGCUUUGUUUCUGGCUCUGUCAUUCAUCUUCUGCAUGGCCUUGGCAAGUCCUUUCUCUUUUCUGUGCCUGCCUUUGCCCACAUACUCCUCUUCUGAACUAAUGGCGGUACUGUGGCUGUUUGAAUCUGUGUUGUGUGAGUAAAUAAACAGUAACUGUAGAAAGGUUUGAUUUUUUUAAAAAGAUGCUGCUUGGCAAGAUCUAACGUUAACCGAAGAUGGAAAAGGUGUGGUAUCUUGAAGUUUUUCCACCUCUACUCUCUGCUUACCUUCAGUGGAAAGUUGAUUUUCAUCAGCUGAGGAACAGAAACGAGUCCCAGCCUGCUAGCACAACCACAGUGUUAGUUAGGAAUAGUCUGAAACACAUGCAGGGAGUGAAAAUAAACCCCAGCUUAUCUGUACACUGACUUUAGACAAUAAGAGUAGCUGUGGACCAGACAUCUACUGAAAGGUGUCCUGGAGCAGAAGGCAAAGUUUCCCUUCUAAACAGCUUACUUUUGCCAUCCAGGUCCUGGAAACACUCAGCUAUUUGUAAGCAUAGAAUUUUCUCUGCAAAACACUGAUGCUUUGGGGUAGGCUGAGUACUCUGCAUUGAAAUCCAGGAUACAAUGCAGUCAGUGGGUGGCCCCAGACAACUUUGAAUGGGCUUUGGAAUAGGGCCCAAGCAUAUCACAAAGAAAGGGAGAAGGAAGCUUUGCUUUAGCCAAAUCUCUGAGCAUGUGCUUCACCACUGAAAUUAGUAAGAAUUAAGCAUAUACUUAAGUAUUCUGCUGACACUUACCUUAACCACCGAGUAACAAAUACUGUCUUGCAGAGACUCUGCUUAAAAGAGAAAAAUGCCUUUUACGUGUCAAAGAGGGACAUAACAUUUAAAAUGGCAUUUCAAAUUUCUUUUAUUUUUUAGUGACAUAGCAAAAGCAGUAUUUGGCCCUGUGCUGCUUGGAACGAGGACAUUUCAAAUUAUUACCAACUGCAGCUUCUCUCUGCAUCAUUUUGCAUUAUGCAGUUUAAUGGCUGCCUGCUAGAAAGGCAUCUUCUCUGCUUCAGUCAUCUAACAGGAUUUUUGGCAUCCAGCUCAUCAGAUGGGUUAUUUUCUUUAACCAUAUUCCUGUAGGACUGCAUCUUUUAAGCAUCCUGCUGCGUUAUUUUGGCACAACCUUUAUAUCUUUUCAUCUUAUUGUUUCUGGAAUUCCUUUUCUCUUUGUAUCAAGUGAUGUUGCUGUGUGUGCUUUUUCUAACAAAUCUUGGUGGAAGAUCAGAAAAACAAACAAAAAAAAAGGCUAAUGUAUCCUAAGGAUUGAUAAUUUCAGGGUCAAAACAGAUUUUAAGUGCUGAUCUUCUUGCACCCGCUGAUGAAUCUUUCCGACCAAGAAGCUGGUGUAUCGUAUCUAGCUGGCAGCACACAGAACACAUUAGGAAAACAAAGAGAAUGUGAGAUUAAGCCGAAAACAGGCAAGAGAGGCAUUUUCUCACUGUUCUGCAUGAAGGCAGAAGAUGCUUCAAGAGGAUACAACCUCGGUUUUCUUGUUGGAACUAUGGCCUCUUCCCCCCAUCAGAUUAUUCAAAGGCAACAUCACUGAAGUCAAGUGAGAACAGGACACUGCUGAAGUCUGCUGAGCCGUUCUGGUCUGGAAUAACCUGUCAACAGGAACACAGAGGGAAAAUCCUAAUGGCACUAAGUUACUCCUGACAAGUGGAUCAGCACCCACGGACAGCCACAUGCUGUGUUGCGAAGACCAGCUCUGGUGUCCCAAGAACAAGUGAGCUUGGCACAGCCUCGAGGAGCACUGUCAGCAGCUACAGCAAAGGACUGAAUAUUCAUAGCUGCUUUUCUCCACUUGAGAUGCUCAGAGAAGGGACUGGGUUUCCAGGAGAGCUCCUUUGGGGCUGCGUAGUGUCUGCCACAAACUUUUGGAAAAUGUGGGCCACAAAACACAAGGCAGCAUGUAUAGAGAGCUGUAAUUUGGGAAAGUGAAGACCUGGACCUACUUCUUCUGUCCCUCCUUAAAAGGUAUUCUGUUGAUUGUGAGAUUUGGACAUUGCUUCUAAAAGAAUAAAGUUUCAAAAAUGGCAACAACAAAAAAAGGCAUCUACAAAGAGGUGACAACAGAACUAUUAAUUUCUUUGUACUUAGGGAAGAAAAGAUUUUUCCCUAAUAGGACCCACAACGGCAAUGUGGAAACUGUUUCUGUUAGCUGGAGCACUUCUUCAUAUGUCCUCUAUAGGGAGUGGGUCAAAAACGGCGAGCAUCAGCAGACCCUUAGAGCAGACUCUUCUUCUGUCCUUUCUGUGCCCACUAUGCAAUUACUCAGCUACAGUCUGACAUCUACAGUCACAAAGACCCAGGCUGUCUGCCUGUUUAGUGCUAUAUAAGUGCUGCUAAAAUACCUGUGGACUGGCUGUCAAGGAGAAAACUUCCAGAUCGUAGUAAAGAGCUUCUUUCCAUGCAAGACAUUACUGUAAAAGAUUAAAUUCCCACCGAUAUUAUUAAGCAGGAGGUUCCAGCUCUUUGCAUUUCUUCAUGCAGUUCAAAACCAGCGAUGAACCUAGUAUAUUUUGGUGUUCCCUCUGCACAGGAAUGUUCGCAUGGCUUACUGGGACUAAUUCCUUGGCAAGGAAUGAAUUCAGACUAAUGUCCCCAGGGAGCAAGGGAUUUUCCUCCAUUGCCUUUAUUUAGAAAGAAGCAUAGAAAAAUGUUGAAGAUGCAUGCAGUGAUAAACCACAGAGUAAACAAGAGAUAGAAAGAGAGGUUGGGAAAAAACAGCAUGGCUGGAGUACUGGUGUAAUCAGAAGACAGAAAGAGCUGAUAGCGUGGUUGGCUGUGCAUGUGGGUGCACAUGCUUGAGAGGGAACCUGUAAUUUCUCUGCUUCCUCACCUCUCAUCCAAAAUAAAAGAUUUUGCUUGUGCUAUUUGCGGGCAUAAUGCUGCACACCUCCUGCUCUCCAUGAGAGAAGUGGUGCAGGAAUUGGUCCUUACUUUUGUCACAUGCACAUGGGUGACACGAACCCAUCCUUGAGCAUGUCUGCAUCCUUUGUCUCUCCGGACAUCACCUGUAGCACCUGGCAGAAGCAUGUUGAGCGCAAUGCAGGCAGUGCCUUGCGAGUGUGGAAGAGCAGUUUGAAACACUGAAUGGAUAAACUGAACUCUUCUGAUCUAGACAGACCUUUCUGAUCUAGUCACGAGGAGGUAUGGUACUUCUUUGUGCGAAAGUACUGCUCACAUAAUGUGAAUAGGAAUUGCGUGUGUUUGCACCAAGAGAAUAAUAUACCCCUAUGGAAACCACAGAUGGGCCUAAAACUUUUCACUGCAUCACCACUGUUACUUCCAGAAGUCUAAUUGUCCUCCAAAGCUUGGAAUUUCUUUCAUGCGUAGGUACCAUUGAGCAGGAUGUACUUAAGUAGGAUGUACUUAAUACUUAGGUACAGUGAAACAGCAGGACUAAGUAGGUGGCUCAAAAUUCAGUCCAGAGGAUAUUUUGUCUCUGUGUGAUGCUUGGGUGUGAUGAUCAAAGCUCAGGCCUAUGACAAGGUGCUUUCACAGCCUGUCUGGAAGUUGACAGGACAAAAAUAUGGACACUUUAGCCCUCCAAAGGUGUGAAUUCAGUAGGUGUUUGACUAGAAACUGUGGAAAUGCCAUGCCAUUUAGUAACAAUAGGAACUUUUCUAGAACAGGAUCAUCCAGAGGGUUUUAAAUCAAUUUGGCUUGACCUCUUCAGUAGAUGUCCAUCUCCCUGUUCAAUCUAAUACUUGAUCCAUAAGAGUGAUUCCUUACCCAGGAGCAAGCGUCAUAGUAUGAAUUUCCUAACCAGGCUAGAUAACAGUUAACACAGGAGUCUUUGUACUCUACAUUCUCUUUCUGCUGACCCUAAUCCCUGUCCCUGCAGUAAGGCUGGCCAAUCAAGCCCAGCACUUGCAGCUGAAUAUGGCACUACAGAAAAGGUAAUUCAAAGCCACAGUCAUACAAAAGGCGAAAGAAACUGCUUGGUUAACCAUUUUACCUCUAGGUACUAGCUUUGCCCUCUCCUCCGUGUCAAGCAAUGGUGAGACCUCUCCUAUUUCCAUAUAGCACCUUUCCCCCAUUUAGAUUAGGCCAUUCUUGAACCUCGUCAUCUUUUUUUUUUCUUUUAGUCUCCUGAAGCCUCCUUUUAUGUGCAAUGAGGGUACCUCCCAUAUUUGUUACACAAACAUUUAUUGGCCUUAUGGUGCCUACAGAAAUUGCAAACUAGAAGUUCACUGACUGUAAGAAAAAACAUCAAAUUUAUGAGAAUUUUCAGGCUAGCCUCAUGAUUCUGAC
ensembl:lncRNA